rnacentral:siRNA from 1 species
UUUGGGUAUUGAAUGAUGAUGUGG